ensembl:lncRNA
CUUCCUGAGUCUGGAGCAAGGACUGUCCACCUAAGCUCAGCCAACCUCAGAACUAUGGGAGAUGGUGACAAAAUUAUUGUUGAAUUAAGCCAUUAUGUUUGGUUGUGAUUAAUUGCACAGCAAUAUGCAGCUGGAGCAAGACAGCCCUCCCAAAUUGUCAAGCUUCAGUUCCCCUCCUUCCACAAAUCUGGUUUUCCUCCUGCAGAGAUUGGAGAAAAGAAAAAAAAGAAAAAAAGAAGAAGAAUAUCUUUAUCUCCAGAAGGAUAAAGUGCUUCUAUCAUUAACAACAGCAACAUAAUACCUAUAUGCGAUGGAACUCAGACCUCACAAGCGGCAGAACCACUGAGCUAAAUCCCUGGCCCUGUUAUCCUUUAAUCUUAAAGAGACAGGUGGGCUAAAAUGGACAAAGGGCUCUGUGCUGCACAACUCAGCAAUCUCCUGUGGUGAGCCCGGCUACUCAGAGCAGGAAGUCCAACACCAUUUACCAAGCUUCUUGUCCUACUCCUAGAGAACUCAGCAUGUUGUUCAAGAGGCUAUGUGAAAAAGGACACAUAAGAUGCCAGUUCCAAAGUAUGGUAUACUUUUAAAAAAUAACUUUAUACUAAAUAGGAGUCUAAACAAAGAAAAAUUUUAGAUCUUUUCCUUUUGGUCUUAUAUAUUGCUAUUUAAAACAUUUCCUACCACAUGAUUUUAUAUUUCUUCUUUCACAUCACUUAUUUUAUAGUUUAUGUUCCUUUUCCA